rnacentral:lncRNA from 1 species
AUGCUUUCUAUGCAGGGAGAAAUCGAAGAUAUUGAAAAGCAGAUUCUGAGUUUAAACCAGAAAAAGGAAGAUCUGUUAGUGGGCUUGAAGGCAGCCAUACUAAACCUUCACCAGCAUUUGAAGCAAGAACAUCAGCAAGCAGAAGGAGAUGGGCUGUCUGCCACCGCAACAGAGGGUAGAGCGGCUGAGAGGGAUGCUCUGGAGUGGAAGCGGGACAGAACGGGCGCCAUGUCCUUCCUGCCAGCCGUCCAGGAGGAGGCCGAGGAGAGCUCUGCACAAAGUGAAGAUGGACACAAGAAAGCCAGGCCAUCUUCAGGGACUUGGUCUUCACUCUGGAAGCAUGAUAAGGACUUGGAGGAAGAUCAGCCGUCAUCUUCCUCUUCGACAAUCAUCCAGGAGCCAGGGAUGAAAAUAAGCACCUGUGUCUAUUCCAUGAUGCAGAUUCUUGCACCAGACUCACCAGACACUGAGCAAGGCCCAGAAUUCUCCCUGGGGCUCAGCCAGACAGAAGAGGCCACCACACCCCCGACCAAGGCUGCAGCUCUGGACUCUUCUGACAAGCAAGGAGCUCUUGGGGCCACAGUGGAGAAGACAAGGCCUCGGCCUGCGGAAGUCCUCCAUGUCUGCCAGACUCAGGUGGCCGAGCUGGAGCUGUGGCUACAGCAAGCCAGCGUGGCAUUUGAGCCGGAAACAUUAAAUGCAGCCAUGCAGCAGGUGGUGGAGCAGGAGCUGGUUGGGUGCCAGGUAAGACUGACAGGCCAGGGUCACGCCUGGCCUUCUCACCAAACCCUGUCGAGGUGGAGCAACUUCCUCUUAAAGCAACAAGGUGUCUCUUUCUGGUGCUCUGACGUUGAUGUUUAUCUUGGCCUCAACGCAUCGUCCUCAGGGUAAUUCUUUGAAAUUCUUUAAGGAAGCAGCGUAUUUGGGAGGACAGAGUGGAUAAGGGCUCAGAAUCUAGAGUGCAAAUCCAGAUCUGUCACACUAACUGUGAACUUGCAGAAGUUAACUUGUCCACCUGUUUUCCUCGUAUAGUAAGUUAGCUCAUGGUUUGUCAGGAUUAAAUGAGAUAAGGUAUAUAAAGCAGUGUCUAAUAUAUAAAGUAUAUAAAAACUGCUCAAUAAAUACUGUUGUCUUUAGUAAUAGUCAUAAGCACUGUGAAGAUUCAUUCAUCAAAAAUGAAAGUGAGUGUCCUCAUUUGUAAAAGUGCACAUUAGAGCAGAAAUAGGCUUUGCAGCCAUUUUACCAGGAAUGCUCCUGAUCUUGCUGGGGAGGAGCAAGGACACCACUUCUUUGGCUUUAGACAUUCUGAGUAGAGCUCUCAGGCUCAGCCCAAAGGUCAGGCUCUGUGGGUCCCUCAGGGGAGGGGCUUGCAUGAUGACAGUGUAGCAGCAUAAUUGCAAGACACAAAGGCAAGGCCUCUCCCCCAGCAUGAGCAGAGCCUGGCCUCUUUGCUUUCCUAACUUGCUUCUGUACCAGCGAUGCAGGCAUCCUCUGGUCUCAGGGUGCCUGAGUCCCUGCCCAGCCUUGGGGAGCUCUUCCUGCAAUUCCUGUCAUCCUCACUGCAGGGGUGUGCCUCCUCCCCUGGGCUCGGCCCUGCCUUACAGCAUCCAGAACUGCCCGCAGGGGUAGGGGACAGGUGGAUGAGCUGACUUCUUCCUCCUCCAGCAGUGCAAAGUCACCUCUGAUCCCAGUAGUCCGUCCAGAUGGUCAGCUCUAAUAGUCUGCUCAGUUACUGAUACUGUCCUUUGGCCUGGCUGAUAAGAACCUGAGGCAUUCAAGGCUUUGAGUCCCAACUAUGUACAGGUGUCCAGUGUCCAUCUGCCACCCUGUUGUCUAUUGCCAGGAUAAACCUUGUGCCCAUUCCUUGAUCACUGGAAUCCCACCCUCAUCACCACUUCUAGUAUAAAGAUUAUUCUUCCAGUGUAAGGAUUUCUGAGCCG